rnacentral:rRNA from 1 species
AGACUAAGCCAUGCAUGUCUAAGUAUAAACGAUCUUUAUACGUGAAACUGCGAAUGGCUCAUUAAAUCAGUUAUAGUUUAUUUGGUGGUUCCUUGCUACAUGGAUAACCGUAGUAAUUCUAGAGCUAAUACAUGCAUAAAGUCCCGACUUCUGGAAGGGAUGUAUUUAUUAGAUCCAAAACCAGCGCGGUCUUCGCGGGCCGGUUUGUUGGUGAUUCAUGAUAACUGCUCGAAUCGCAUGGACACGUUCCGGCGAUGAUCCAUUCAAAUUUCUGCCCUAUCAACUUUCGAUGGUAGGGUAGUGGCCUACCAUGGUUGCAACGGGUGACGGAGAAUUAGGGUUCGAUUCCGGAGAGGGAGCCUGAGAAACGGCUACCACAUCCAAGGAAGGCAGCAGGCGCGCAAAUUACCCAAUCCCGACUCGGGGAGGUAGUGACAAUAAAUAACAAUGCCGGGCUAUUAUAGUCUGGCAAUUGGAAUGAGUACAAUCUAAACCCCUUAACGAGGAACAAUUGGAGGGCAAGUCUGGUGCCAGCAGCCGCGGUAAUUCCAGCUCCAAUAGCGUAUAUUAAAGUUGUUGCAGUUAAAAAGCUCGUAGUUGGAUUUCGGGGCAGGUGGGCCGGUCCACCGCAAGGUGCGUACUGGGCGCCAGCCCUUCCUCUC